GCUCCAGCAAGGAAGGUGAAAUCUGGGACGCAACUGUGAGGUCCCUUCUCCUUCCAGCAUGUCUAGGCCUAGUCAGUGGGAUGGGUGGCUGCACCCUCCCCUGCCUGCCCCACCAUCAGCUCCAGCAAGGAAGGUGAGAUCUGGGAUUCUGCUCUGAGAUCCCUUCUCCCUGCGGCUUGCUGGGCAUAAGUCAUCAGGACCAGGAGGCCGUGCCCUCCCCAGCCUGCCUGGCCAUCAUUUCCAGCAAGGAAGCCUCAGCAAGGAAGCCUGUUUGGGACCAGUCAAUGGGACCAUGUGGUAGCACCGGCCCCUGAGUGUGUGGCAUCAGCUCCAGCAAGAAGACAGUGGGACUGGGUGGCCACACCAUUCCAUGCCUGCACAGCCUUCAGUUCCAGUAAGGAAGGUCCAGCAAGGACGGUGAGAUCUGGGAUGCCGCUCUGAGAUCCCUUCUCCCUCAGGCAUGCUUAGGCCCCAUCAGCGGGACUGGUGCCCGCGCCCUCCUGUGCCUUCAUCGCAGUCAACUCCAGCAAAGAAGGUGAGAUCUGGGACGCCUCUCUGAGAUCCCUUCUCUCUGGCCAGCUUGGGCCUCAGCUGUGGGACCUGGUGCCCGCGCCCUCCCCUAUCUUCACGCCAUCAGCUCCAGCAAAGAAGGUGAGAUUUGGGACGCCUCUCUGAGAUCCCUUCUCCCUCUGGAGUGCUUGGGCCCUGUCCGCUGGACUGGGUGGCUGCGCCCUACCCUGCCUGCCCCAUCAGCUCCAGCAAGGAAGGUGAGAUCUGGGAGGCCACUCUGAGGUCCCUUCUCCCUUUGGCCUGCUUGGGUCCAUUUGGAGGGACCAGGUGGCUGUGAACUCCCCUGCCUGACCUGCCAUCAGCUGCAGCAAGGAAGGUGAGAUCUGGGACGCCUCUCUGAGAUCCCCUCUCCCUCUGUCCUGCUUUGGCCCAGUCAGUGGGAUCAGGUGGCCACGCCCUCCUCUGUCUGCUCUGCCAUCAGCUCCAGAAAAGACAGUGAGAUCAGGGAUACCUCUCUGAGAUCCAUUCUCCCUCCGGCCUCCAUGAGCCCAGGCAGUGGGACCAAGUGGCCGUUCCCUCCCCUGCCUGCCCUGCCAUCAACUCCAGCAAGGAAGGUGAGAUCUAUGUGAUCUAGGUGAGAUCC
rnacentral:lncRNA from 1 species